UAGUGGUAGUAUAUAUAUAAUAAAAAUGGUAAGACAACAAAAGAAUGAAAGAGCCCUUGAUAUUGUGUAAAUAGAGGAACUUAUCUGUAAACAUGAUAUGUGAUAAUUAUUCGGUAACCAUGAUAAAACACAGAGUUUCAGAUGUUGAUGGUUGGAUAACUGAA